AAACGACGACGUUGUAUACUGAUCUGGAUUUACAAACUUUAACAGUUAUUGUAAAUUACAAAAUACUCCAACAUUUAUAUCUUAUUUUCGCAUCGGCGCUUGAUUCGAAGAUCGUUGUGAAACUAGUCCAAAAGUAGUGUGCGCAUCAAACGAUCUCUCUCCAUCAUCGCCCGUCACUGAAAAACCUCUCCGACAAUCAUCAUCCGAUCCGCCACCAGCUAUGGCAGAGGCGUCUGGUAAGACGCUGAUGGAUCUGAUCUCGGCGGACCCAACCCCGAUUCCUGCAAAAUCAUCAUCUUCUGCCUCCGCCUCCGCCUCCACCUCUUCCACGGCGUCUCCCGCAGCGGCAUCGGCGGGUUCGCAUCUGCAACAACCAAUGUCGACGAAGACGACGCUGGGAGAGAAGAAAUCGAAGAGAGCGACUCUGACGCAGAUCCAGAACGACACUAUAUCUGUAGCCAAAGCUGCACUCAAUCCUGUUAAGGCCAAUAUCAUGCCCCAAAGGCAGAGACAGAAAAAGAAGCCAGUUUCAUAUACCCAACUUGCAAGGAGCAUUCACGAACUAGCUGCCACCUUGGAUCAGAAAAGUUCCCAGAAACAGCUAGUGAAUCACGUGUUCCCUAAGCUUGCUGUCUACAACUCCGUUGAUCCUUCUCUCGCCCCAUCUCUUCUUAUGCUUAAUCAGCAAUGUGAAGACCGGAAUGUGCUACGCUAUGUCUAUUAUUACUUAGCUAGAAUUUUGUCCGAUACGGGCAUGAGUCCAGGAGGUGGUAUCCCCACUCCUAACUGGGAUGCUCUGGCAGAUAUUGAUGCUGGUGGUGGAGUCACAAGAGCUGAUGUUGUUCCUCGGAUAGUUAACCAGCUGACCUCCGAAGCUUCUAAUUCUGAAACUGAGUUUCAUGCUCGACGACUGCAAGCUUUAAAAGCUCUGACAUAUUCACCGUCAGGAAAUUCUGAGCUUCUGUCUAAAUUGUAUGAGAUUGUAUUUGGCCUGCUUGAUAAGGUUGCUGAUGUUCCGAAUAAACGAAAGAAAGGGGUCUUUGGGACAAAAGGAGGUGAUAAGGAGUCGAUUAUUCGGAGUAACUUGCAAUAUGCUGCUAUGAGUGCACUAAGGAGACUUCCUCUUGAUCCAGGAAAUCCACUUUUUCUGCACCGUGCAGCCCAGGGUGUUUCGUUUGCUGAUCCUGUUGCGGUGAGGCAUUCACUGGAAAUUUUAUCUGAGUUAGCAGCAAGAGACCCCUAUUCAGUUGCAAUGACAUUAGAAAAGCUUGCGUCUCCAGCAGUAGGGGCUUUGCAAGAUAUCCUACAUUUGAAUGAUGUGCUUGCUAGGGUUGCCCUGGCUAGGUUGUGCCACAGUAUAUCCCGAGCUCGAGCGUUAGAUGAGAGGCCUGAUAUAAGAUCGCACUUCAACUCAAUUCUUUAUCAGCUACUACUAGAUCCAAGCGAAAGGGUAUGCUAUGAGGCGAUUUUGUGCAUUCUGGGAAAAUACGAUAACACAGAAAGGACGGAUGAGCGGGCUAGUGGGUGGUACCGCUUGACCAGGGAGAUCCUGAAGUUACCAGAAGCGCCAUCCAAGGAUAAAUCCAAUAAAACCAAGCGCCCACAGCCCCUUAUUAAGCUUGUAAUGAGAAGGUUAGAGAGCUCAUUUCGCAGUUUCUCAAGACCAGUGCUCCAUGCCGCAGCAAGGGUUGUGCAAGAAAUGGGAAAGAGCAGGGCUGCAGCGUUUGCUAUGGGAUUACAGGACAUUGAUGAAUCGGUUCAUGUAAAUGCAUUUUCUGACGUUCUGGAUGAUGCUGAGACCAAUGACAGUUCUCACCCAGAAGGAAUACGGAGAACAUCAUCUAUAUCCGCAGGGCCCGGUCGCAAUGAGACAAUUGCAAGUUUGUUGGCUUCAUUAAUGGAAGUGGUUCGAACAACAGUUGCAUGCGAGUGCGUGUACGUCCGGGGAAUGGUUGUCAAAGCAUUGAUAUGGAUGCAAAGUCCGCAUGAAUCACUGGAUGAAUUGAAAUCAAUCAUUGCCUCAGAGCUUUCUGAUCCUGCUUGGCCCGCAGCGCUUGUUAAUGAUGUUUUGCUUACUUUGCAUGCUCGAUUUAAGGCAACUCCAGAUAUGGCUGUUAUUCUUCUCGAAAUUGCCAGAAUAUUUGCCACCAAAGUUCCAGGGAAAAUUGACGCUGAUGUCUUACAACUGCUCUGGAAGACAUGUCUUAUCGGAGCUGGUCCUGAUGGUAAACACACAGCUCUGGAAGCAGUCACAAUAGUACUCGAUUUACCACCUCCACAACCAGGAUCCAUGUCAGGACUGACAUCACUUGAUAGGGUGUCUGCAUCAGAUCCGAAGUCGGCUCUGGCGCUUCAGAAAUUGGUGCAAGCUGCAGAAUGGUUCCUUGGAGAAAAUGCAAACUACGCCGCUUCAGAAUAUGCAUGGGAAUCUGCAACUCCACCAGGCACUGCACUUAUGAUGUUGGAUGCAGAUAAAAUGGUUGCUGCUGCUAGUUCUCGCAAUCCUACGCUAGCUGGUGCAUUAACUCGCCUCCAGAGGUGUGCGUUUAGUGGUAGCUGGGAGGUCCGAAUUGUUGCAGUUCAAGCUCUUACUACGAUAGCCAUUAGAUCUGGUGAACCUUUCAGGCUGCAGAUAUACGAGUUUUUGUACACCUUGGCGGAGGGUGGUGUACAGUCUCAACUUUCUGAAAUGCACCUGAGUAAUGGGGAGGACCAAGGAGUUAGUGGUACAGGACUUGGAGUUUUAAUAACUCCGAUGUUAAAAGUUCUGGAUGAAAUGUAUGUAGGACAAGACGAAUUAAUCAAGGAUAUGCGCAAUCACGAUAACGCAAACAAAGAAUGGAAGGACGAGGAGCUGAAAAAACUCUACGAAACCCAUGAAAGACUGCUAGAUUUUGUUUCCUUGUUUUGCUAUAUUCCAAGAGCCAAGUAUUUACCCCUGGGUCCAAUAAGUGCAAAACUCAUUGACACAUACCGCACAAAGCACAAUAUCACCGCAUCUUCUGGGUCUACCGAUCCAACUGUUCUUGCUACUGGUAUUUCGGACUUAAUUUAUGAGUCCACUCAGCCUGCCCCUGCUGCCUCAAACUCCAGUGGUCUAGAUGAUGAUCUGGUGAAUGCUUGGGCUGCAAACCUUGGUGAUGAUGGUCUUCUUGGAAACAACGCCCCAGCAAUGAGCAGGGUCAAUGAAUUUAUUGCUGGAGUUGGAACAGAUGCACCAGAUGUUGAUGAGGAGAAUGUCUUCUCUAGACCUUCCGUUGGCUAUGAUGACAUGUGGGCUAAGACUCUUUUAGAAAACAACGAACUGGAGGAAGAUGAUGCGAGAUCAGGUUCAUCUUCUCCAGACUCUACUGGAUCGGUGGAAAGCUCUAUAUCCUCUCAUUUUGGUGGAAUGAAUUACCCAUCCUUAUUCAGUUCAAAGCCUUCUUCACAAGCAACUCCAUCAUCUAAUUGUCACUUAUAUGAAUAUGCAAAUUCAAAUAGGCAAAAUCGAGUGGAAGCAAAUACCAGUCCACAUAUGAAGGCUAUGGUUCCCCUAUUAGAGAAGAACCACCUCCGCCUUACUCAUAUUCUGAGCCACAAAGUCGUGAAUCGUUUGAGAACCCUAUGGCAGGGUCAAGUUCUCGAAGUUACGGAUCAGAUGAUGAUGAACCUAGGAAAUCUACUGGUACAAGAUUCGGAACAGCGCUCUAUGACUUCACCGCAGGAGGAGAUGAUGAGCUAAACUUGACGGCAGAAGAGGAAUUGGAGAUAGAAUAUGAAGUUGAUGGCUGGUUUUACGUAAAAAAGAAGCGGCCUGGGAGGGACGGGAAGAUGGCUGGACUUGUGCCCGUUCUUUACGUCAACCAAUCUUAAAUUUUGCUGAAGCCGAGGUUAUGAAGGAGGAGGCUUAGAUGCUGGUCCAUUAUUUCUUUGAGAGGUGUUCUUUGUACAUGAAUGAAUGUUAUUUGUUGGAGUUUGAUAUAUGUGUAUUUGUAUCACUUUUGACAUUUAUUGUUCCAAAUGCUUAUGUUUUGAUUUGUGAGCUAA